UACGUAGGAGGCGAGCGUUGUCCGGAUUUACUGGGCGUAAAGCGCGCGCAGGCGGCACUUCAAGUAAGGUGUGAAAUCUCCCUGCUCAACGGGGAGGGUGCACCUUAGACUGGGGAGCUAGAGGACGGUAGAGGGGGGUGGAAUUGCUGGUGUAGCGGUGAAAUGCGCAGAUAUCAGGAGGAACACCGGUGGCGAAGGCGGGUCUCUGGGCCGAUACUGACGCUGAGGAGCGAAAGCGUGGGGAGCGAACAGG
rnacentral:rRNA from 1 species